UCUCUCGGGGAAGCUAGGAGCACUGCAGGAGGUGGCAGCAGAGAACUCCAGUGUGUGGUCAAACCCUGCACUCCAGCCUCGCUCUCAAAAGCAGGAGCUGACUUGAUCAGAGCUCUGAUGUUUAACCGUCUAUGGUCUCAGUCACCAGUGGUCAACGGAUGUCUGCAAAUAUUCCUCAAGAGGGACGGCAUUUGCAGAACUCUCAGUGCACACUUGGAAUUGGUCUAUUAUUAUUAAACUCUUACUGUACCUCA